rnacentral:rRNA from 1 species
GUCGCUCCGAUGCUCUAGAUUACGCGAAGACCUUACCAAGGCUUGACAUAUAGAGGAAAAGUGCAGAAAUGCACUCCCCGCAAGGUCUCUAUACAGGUGGUGCAUGGUUGUCGUCAGCUCGUGUCGUGAGAUGUUGGGUUAAGUCCCGCAACGAGCGCAACCCCUACUUCUAGUUGCCAUCAGGUUAAGCUGGGCACUCUAGUAGGACUGCCUGUGAUAAGCAGGAGGAAGGUUGGGAUGACGUCAAGUCCUCAUGCCCCUUAUGUCUUGGGCUUCACGCAUGCUACAAUGGCCGGUACAGAGGGCUGCAAUACCGUAAGGUGGAGCGAAUCCCAAAAAGCCGGUCUCAGUUCGGAUUGAGGUCUGCAACUCGACCUCAUGAAGUCGGAGUCGCUAGUAAUCGUAGAUCAGCAACGCUACGGUGAAUACGUUCCCGGGUCUUGUA